UUUUACUGAAUAAAAGUUGGAAAAUAAAAAGAGUAGAAUUCGCGGAGACAUCACCAAUGCAGCCACCGAUUCUCCGUUCAAUUCCGGCAUUCGGCGUCGCCUCCUCUUUCUCCGGCGCCACCGCCUUACUCCGCCGCUCCUACGUGUGCUACAACUGCAAUUACCCCUUCCAUAUUUCCCCCACCGCUGCCGCGAUCGCAGACUCGGACACGUCAUCAUCCGCCUUCCCCUCCCCCUUCCGCUGCCCUCGCUGCCACCUCCGCCACCUCAUCUCCCACCACACAAUUUGCGCAGCGCCUCGUCGUCGUCCUCCUCCUCUUCCUCCUUCCUCCCGCUCUACGCGGCGGCGCAAGGACGAUCCUCCUCCUGCUGUUGUCAGUAGCACUACUUCAGCAGCUCCGUCGACGCAGCCGUGCUCAAUUUGCCUAGAGGAUUUCGAUAUUAGCUCCGAUGCAGCUAGCGUGACGCCGUGCAAGCAUUAUUUUCACAAGGAUUGUCUCGCGCCGUGGCUCCGGAAGAAGAAGACUUGCCCCAUGUGCCGUCGCGAAUUGCCCUACAAAAUUCGAAGGUUUCGGAGAUGGGCAUCAGUGAUCGCGCGCGAUGCGGAUGGGGAUACCUUGAUGAGAGACGCAUGAGCUCUGUUGAUAAAUGGAAAAGCAGUCUUGUGCAAAUAUAUGGAGCUGUUCUUCUAUAGCUUGCUGUCAUGGUCGGGGACAGCGUCUUUUGUACAGAGUUUGUCUUUUUAGUUAAUCUUUUGCAAAGUUAGCGCUGGAGCAGGGAUGGGCCUAAUAGGUAGAAAGGCAAGAGGUUUUCUUUGAAGAAAUUUAGAAAAUUAGAAGGAGUAAUUCCUAUAGAGUUUUUAGUGUCUCCUAUCAUUUAGUGAGGGGGUGGAUAUGAUUUCGUUUCAUUUCACAAACAGGGUUAGAAAAGGGGGUGGUAGAAUGGGAUGGAAUAAGUAGAAUUUUUUAUUUAUGUUCCAUUCUUAUAUUUAUUAAUAAAUGAAAUUUUGAUUGGAGGAA